GUGCUCACUUCGGCAGCACAUAUACCAAAAUUGGAAGGAUACAGAAAUUAGCAUGGCCUCUGUGCAAGGAUGACAGGCAAAUUCGUGAAGUGUUCCCUAUUUUA